GACCAACAGCCUUGUCGACCAUGACCACCCACUGGGAGCAAGAAACAGACUCAUGAAAGCAGUGGCCAUGGGCAGAAGAACAGAGGAUAUAAAUAGAUCCAUAGCUUGCUUAUUUGACCAGAGCCUCGGCCAAAUAUACAGCUUACCAGAAGUAGUGACCAACCUUGAACUCUUGAUAAGAUCUCGUGCUUCAAGAAAAUUGUAUUAUUCGGUUGCAAUUAAAGUGACUGAAGGAGGAGGCAACAGUUGGAAG